rnacentral:rRNA from 1 species
AGGGUGAGUCGACCCCUAAGGCGAGGCCGAAAGGCGUAGUCGAUGGGAAACGGGUUAAUAUUCCCGUACUUGGUGUUACUGCGAAGGGGGGACGGAGAAGGCUAUGUUGGCCGGGCGACGGUUGUCCCGGUUUAAGCGUGUAGGUGUGUGUUCCAGGUAAAUCCGGUUCACUUUAACACUGAGGCGUGACGACGAGGCACUACGGUGCUGAAGCAACAAAUGCCCUGCUUCCAGGAAAAGCCUCUAAGCAUCAGGUAACAUCAAAUCGUACCCCAAACCGACACAGGUGGUCAGGUAGAGAAUACCAAGGCGCUUGAGAGAACUCGGGUGAAGGAACUAGGCAAAAUGGUGCCGUAACUUCGGGAGAAGGCACGCUGACACGUAGGUGAAGUGAUUUACUCAUGGAGCUGAAGUCAGUCGAAGAUACCAGCUGGCUGCAACUGUUUAUUAAAAACACAGCACUGUGCAAACACGAAAGUGGACGUAUACGGUGUGACGCCUGCCCGGUGCCGGAAGGUUAAUUGAUGGGGUCAGCGCAAGCGAAGCUCCUGAUCGAAGCCCCGGUAAACGGCGGCCGUAACUAUAACGGUCCUAAGGUAGCGAAAUUCCUUGUCGGGUAAGUUCCGACCUGCACGAAUGGCGUAAUGAUGGCCAGGCUGUCUCCACCCGAGACUCAGUGAAAUUGAACUCGCUGUGAAGAUGCAGUGUACCCGCGGCAAGACGGAAAGACCCCGUGAACCUUUACUAUAGCUUGACACUGAACAUUGAGCCUUGAUGUGUAGGAUAGGUGGGAGGCUUUGAAGUGUGGACGCCAGUCUGCAUGGAGCCGACCUUGAAAUACCACCCUUUAAUGUUUGAUGUUCUAACGUGGACCCGUUACCCGGGUUGCGGACAGUGUCUGGUGGGUAGUUUGACUGGGGCGGUCUCCUCCUAAAGAGUAACGGAGGAGCACGAAGGUUGGCUAAUCCUGGUCGGACAUCAGGAGGUUAGUGCAAUGGCAUAAGCCAGCUUGACUGCGAGCGUGACGGCGCGAGCAGGUGCGAAAGCAGGUCAUAGUGAUCCGGUGGUUCUGAAUGGAAGGGCCAUCGCUCAACGGAUAAAAGGUACUCCGGGGAUAACAGGCUGAUACCGCCCAAGAGUUCAUAUCGACGGCGGUGUUUGGCACCUCGAUGUCGGCUCAUCACAUCCUGGGGCUGAAGUAGGUCCCAAGGGUAUGGCUGUUCGCCAUUUAAAGUGGUACGCGAGCUGGGUUUAGAACGUCGUGAGACAGUUCGGUCCCUAUCUGCCGUGGGCGCUGGAGAACUGAGGGGGGCUGCUCCUAGUACGAGAGGACCGGAGUGGACGCAUCACUGGUGUUCGGGUUGUCAUGCCAAUGGCACUGCCCGGUAGCUAAAUGCGGAAGAGAUAAGUGCUGAAAGCAUCUAAGCACGAAACUUGCCCCGAGAUGAGUUCUCCCUGAGACUUAAAGUCUCCUGAAGGAACGUUGAAGACGACGACGUUGAUAGGCCGGGUGUGUAAGCGCAGCGAUGCGUUGA